GUUCCCUCACUUUUCAUAUUCUCUCUUUUCUUUUCUCAUUCACACUUGCUAAACCCAACAGUUGGCAACUCUGACCCUUAACUUUUGAUGUGCACAAUUAAACAAUUAAACUUGUAUAAAAUUGAACAAAUUGACAUAUUCGUCCUACAUAGCACCCUACAUGAAAAUUUUGUGUCCUACAUAGCAUACUGCACGUAUGAUGCCAUGUUUUAAAAAGAACAUUUUAGGGAGUACAAAGAUAGAAAAGGUAAAAUUGUAAAGCGAUUCGUCAAAUAAAAAGUUCUUAUAAUAUCAUAAAUAAAAAUAAACAACUUAUGGUUGAUAUCGGAUUAUAAGCACUUGAGUUAUAAGUGUUUGCCAAUUAUAUAUUUAAGCUUUUAAAAUAGGCUUAUGAACUAGUUUGAACCACUUAGAAAUUUAACCUACUUAAUAUAAAAGUAGCAUAUUGGGUACUAGAUAUAACCAAAGACUCUCAUUCUGUAAUAAUUGUGUGUAGUUAAUUACAUGCACACACCUAAUUAUGUAUAUGGAAAAAAAUGAAAUUUAUAAUCUAAAACCUUGACAUAUUGACAUUGCCUAACUAUAAAAGGGCAGAACUAUUAAUGUAAUGCUGAAGCACAUAUUAGUUAUUAUAACUUAGUCAUAUAUCAUAGAAAAAAUGAGUCUUGAAGGUAAAUUGGUUUCUGAGAUAAAUAUCAAAUGUGAUGGAGAUGUGUUCCAUGAAAUAAUUAUGUACAAACCACAUUAUAUGUGCAACAUAUGCCUUGAUAAGAUACAAAAUGUGGAUAUUCAUGAAGGUGAUUUGGGUACUAUUGGCUCUGUUAGGUUUUGAAAAUUCACACAUGAUGGGAAAGAGAUGGUGGCAAAGGAAGUUAUUGAAGAAAUAGAUGAAGAAAAGAAGUUGGUUAAAAAAAAGAUGAUUGAAGGAGAUAUGUUAGAGUAUUAUGAAUCAUUUUACCUCACUAUUCAUGUUGAGACAAAGGAAGAAAACAACUUAGUUAGAUUUUGGAAUAUUAAAAGAAGAAUGUGCAUGUGCCUGAUCCACAGACUUUCAUGGAAUUAUGUAUCAAUAUCACUAAAGAUAUUGAGAGUUACCACAUCAAGUGAUACAUAAAUACAUAUAUGUAUGUACUUGAAGUAAUAUUAUGUGGUGUGGUUAAAGAAUUUGCUUUGAAAUGUCUAAUAUAUAUGUAGAAAAAAUAAAGGGAGUGGAUAUUGAUAAAUAAACAUAUAUAAAAGCUCCUUCUAAUACAUA